CCUACGGGAGGCAGCAGUGAGGAAUAUUGGUCAAUGGCCGUAAGGCUGAACCAGCCAAGUCGCGUGAAGGAAGAAGGACCUAUGGUUUGUAAACUUCUUUUAUAAGGGAAUAAAGGUAGCCACGUGUGGCUAUUUGCAUGUACCCUAUGAAUAAGCAUCGGCUAACUCCGUGCCAGCAGCCGCGGUAAUACGGAGGAUGCGAGCGUUAUCCGGAUUUAUUGGGUUUAAAGGGUGCGUAGGUGGGUUUUUAAGUCAGCGGUGAAAGUUUGGGGAUCAACCAUAAAAUUGCCGUUGAAACUGGAAGCCUUGAGUGUGUGUGAGGUAGGCGGAAUGCGGGGUGUAGCGGUGAAAUGCAUAGAUAUCACGCAGAACUCCGAUUGCGAAGGCAGCUUACUAAGCCAUAACUGACACUGAGGCACGAAAGCGUGGGUAUCAAACAGGAUUAGAUACCCCUGUAGUC
rnacentral:rRNA from 1 species